CAGUGACUGACAAAUAGGCCAACAGUUAGACCACACAGGAGGAAGCCUGACUCUUUGCGGGUCCCAAAAACUGGAAGUGUCCAUAGAAAAGAGAAUGUCUGGUCACCUCAUUCUAGCAGGUUGUUGUGUCCACCUGUUCUCGUCUACUUUGUGUCGACCAAUCAGCUCACCCGUCCCUGCUCCGGCGGCGCUCGUCCAGCGGCCGCCACCCGACCCCGCUCCGGCGGCGUUCGUCCAGCGGCCGCCACCCAACCCUAUUGCUUGGCCCCUGCAUUACCAUUGGGUUCGGCACCAUGGCCGUCCGCCUGAAUGGCCCUGUAAAGACCCUGGUGCUUGGCGUCCUGGACGACCUCCUGAACCGCUCAGCCAAGCACCUCACCUCGGGUGGCCUGGAUGGCCACCAGACUGACCUGAGGGGUGGACUCUGUACACUCCUCCAGGCCCCCUUCCGCCCACCCUGGGUUGGUGACUUUUUGGUUGUUGUUUGGGGAACGUCUGGGAUCCGUUCCUUUAGAGGGGGGGUACUGUCAUGGUCUGUGUUUUGGUUUGGGUUGUUUAGUUUUGUUCAAUGUUUUCCUGUGUUCCAUGUUUGUCGUGUGCUCAUUAGGUUGUUGUGUCCACCUGUUCUCGUCUACUUUGUCGACCAAUCAGCUCUCUCUAGCCACUCGUCUUGUCCAGGUGUUCCUCGUUGUCUCGUCAAUUUGUUUGUAUUUAGUUCCCUGGUUUCUUUCAGUUCUCGUCGGUUCAUUGUCGUUGUCACGUCUUUGCCAUGUCAUAGUUGCCAGUUGUCGUUGUCACAUGUCUUGACAUUGUCGCUCAGGUAUUUCACCAGUCAUGUCUUGUUUCUUGUUUUGGGUUCACUCAAGUGUUUCUUUGUUAUUUUGUGUUUAGAUUUUGGACUUUGUUAAUUUAGCAUUUAGACUUUUUCAUGAUCUUUGUUUUCCUUUGUUUUUAUCAUUGUGAUUAAAUAUUAUUAUUUUGAGAUUCCCGCACUCCUGCCUUGCCUCCCUGCUUCCCUGCAAUUGGGUCCACCAUGUUCUUGCCUUGCGUUCCUCGCCUUCGCCCUAACCACGUUACGUGACACGGAGACAAAUUCCUUGUGUGUUUUGGACAUACUUGGCAAAUAAAGAUGAUUCUGAUUCUAAUGUAUUUGUGGUUAAAUGACACUUCUGUUACAGUGUUAACCAAAUAAAGAAAGAUGGAUUUGU